rnacentral:misc_RNA from 1 species
GUAUUCUCCUGGUUCCAUUUGUUAUAGAGUACUUAGUAUUUGAGUAGUAGUGUGACUGGAGAGAUACAAUGUAAUCGAGUGAUCAGAGUGUUCUAGCUUGUUGGUCAUUUUCCAAUUAAAUACAAGUUUUAUUACUCUUCUCUGUGUCUCUAUUUCAUUUCCUGUUGGUUUAUGUUCCUUACUUUAUCAGUAUGUGAGAUUGAUAACCAGGAAACUAGUUUUGCCCAUAAGAAGCUUUGACACAGCCAAAAUGUACUCUUACUGCACUCACCUUGGAAUUUGUAACCUAGCUGACGCUUGCUAUUCUAUCAAUUUUGGAAAUUCUUGGCUAAAGAUGGUUCAUCUGGACCUAAGACACAGCAUAUAGGGUGGAAACCAUAUAUUUGUGUUUUGGUCCAUAAUGGAUGAGUUCUAGACAAGUCUUUCCCACUUUUCUAAAAACACGAGCAGCACAUUUCUUUUCCACAGU